rnacentral:lncRNA from 1 species
UUCUCUCUUCUUCUCCGACCUCUUCACCUUCUUCCGGCCAUAACUCCUCCAUCCGGCGACAGAUUUUGACGUCAACGAGAAGAAGAGGACGGUCACUGUAGCAGUUUUGAGUCAACGCCUAUAUUUUCCGAUUCCGGCAGUCUCCGGCCACCAAAUUGGCGUCGAAGGGUUCUUGGAAUUUCUGGAAAAUUUUCACCGGCCAAAUUGGAGCUCUUCCAGGACGACGUACCGAGCUAUUGCUCGAUGACGGAACACGAAUGCGUGAUCGUCGGAAUAGUACUUGA